GGUCGGGCUGGGUAUCGGUCGGUGGCUGAACAAGUCUUUAAAAGCAAAAAAAGAGAAGAAAGGCUUCUGAACUCACUUUGAUAGAACUAGAUUUUUCUCUGAGACAACAGGAAUGCCAGGCUGGGGAUGAGUUUGGAGAGUGAAGAACAGGGGAACAGGAAAACAAAUACUCUACAUAAACACAGUAUUUCUCAUAAGCUCAGUGAGCAGCAAAACUCAAGCCUCGAGCUAGCAGCUACUUUUUUCAUACACAAUAUGACUUGCACAGUGCUUGCUUGACCAGUGGAGUUAUGCUUACUUGGAGGAGCGUCACAGUUGACCUGCAAUCUAACAAAUUUGCACGCUGCCAUCAGCAGCAUGUAAUAAACAGCAUCAGUAGCCACAAGAACAAUUUUCUCUUUUAAAAGAAUGUACAACACAGUACACUCCCUCUAUUUACAACACUCCUCUCUUCAGUCAUGAGACGCAUCCAUCUCCUUUUUACAUAAAUGUUGUUUUUAUUCUGUUUAAUAGCAAAUAUUUAUAACCAGGAGAAAAACAAGUAACAUGUCAUAGGCAAAGGGAAGUUGUUACCAGAAUAACCACCUCUGUGACUAUUUAGCAAGUUUGUUUUGCAUAUUAAGUGAUUGUUGUAUUUUGACAACUUUAUGUUAUCUGACAAGCCCAAACUAUGAUACUUGAUGAAAUUUUUCAGUUAGGCAGCACAAAAAUAAAACACAAGCCCCAAUGUUUGAGGCAUUUUUUAGGAAUUUUAAAUAGCAAACAUCUCAUUAAUGGGCAUAGCAUCUACAGCUUUGCAUGUCUGUAAAUCGUUUACAGUUGUAUAAAGCUUAGUUUCUUACCCCCU